CUAAAUAUUUGGAAACUUAAAUAUAUAACGCAUAACGGAUCCUCAGGGCGACCGAAGAACCUCAUCAGAAGACAUUAUUGUUAUUACGAUCACUCCAGAAAUUCAUCGAAACAUAACAUAUCUUGUCAUUAUGAGUGUCAUGCAAAUUUCUGGCGAAGCUUUAAAGCAAAGCAAGGUACAUUCCUUUAACUUCUAUAUGCAGAUGUAAUUUCAGUGUUGAUAGAGUUGGGAUUUAAUGACGGUUAUAGUUCAACACCACACCGGCUUCAAUGAACUUCUUCCGGAUUCUGCAACCUCACACUUAUUUUCCAAGUCUACUCAUGUGAUCAUUAGAUUUUACUUCGUCAUCUGCGCAUCAUUAGUCUACGAAAAAACCAUUCUAACACACGGCGUUAUGAAUUAGUAUAGAAACUCAAGUCGUAAUGUAUUCAAUUACAUCCGAUUUCGGUCAUCAUGUCCACUAACACACUAAACAACAGCAAAGUAUCCAUCACGAAUGCCAAGCACAGCCAGCAACGAAGCAUUAAAUCCAUCUUAUGAAGUUUCGCUUAUUCACAAUGUUGCAGAGCGGGCAUGGGGGCAGACUUUUAUUGGCUUUGCUGGCUGCGCUGUAGAAGUGUUAUUGUUUACGAUCACAGCACUUUUUCUCGCCUCUCUCUAAUUUUACGUCAACUCAUCAGCGAAAUUACUCAGCACGAUUGCUGCGACGAGCGAUGAUGAUGACAGGCAAGCGACAGCAGCGGCACCAUAAAAUAACGGGAACAGCAGAACCUGCCGCGUUGGCAAGGGCAACCGCAGCGCCAUAAAUAUUAGCGAGUUGGAAAUCAUACGCCACUACAACGGCAACAUAAAUUUCAUUGCACACACUUUAUGAGGCUAUGCGCACACAGGCACAGCCACACAUCGCCAAACUCAUAUAUACAAGUAUUUGCGCCCAAAUUUAUGCAACAGUGGCGCAUCGGGGCAGCAAAAGCAGGCGACAACAGCGAUGCAGCGCGGCGCGAGCGGAGACAACUUAUCGAGUUUCGGAGCAGACGAAAAUGUCAGCAAUUGAUGGAUAUAAACGAGCAGCACAUAGAUGAUGUGAAUGUAUUCGAGAUGGCAACAACAAAUACCAUACACCAUUCGCCCCACGGGUGGCAAUAAAAGUCGUCUGGGAAUUAUCAAUUGCUGAUGCAUGGCGUAUCCAUAAAUGCUUUUCACGCGCUUAAACGCUGCGUGGAUAGCACAGCACAUCUCUUGCGAUUAAGGGAAAAUGUGCUAGUCUGGCACCCAUCAUUUACAUUGGCUCUAAUUGUGGCAUAAACAGUGUCGGCUUUUCAUAUUCAAGAACUUCGGAAUGAAGCAUUGGAAAUAGAGCAGUUCAAAAACAAAAGAAUUGAGUUGAAAAUUGCCGUAAGUUCGUUAAUAAUUUCUUAUAUUUUUUCCAAUUUUUGUCCAACAUUCCACAAGGAUGAAGGCGUUCCCAGGUUCAUCGCUUCAUUAAAAUACAUACUGCCAACAUCAACGGAUGCUCAUAAUAUUGAAGACAGCUCGUUUCCAUUUCAUACUAUCUGAUUCAUAUUCAGGGCUCUGGGCCCGGAAACUUAAUAAGUAAAAGACAACAGUUUCGCCCGCAGAAUAAGCAGCAAGGGUAAGCACAAAAUCAUAAAAUACAAUCUACAAAAUAAAAAAGUUAAGAAAGCAGAGUAGUUCUAGCUGAAUAAGGAGAAUUGAAAUUUAAAAUUGCUCAACUCCAACAACAGCAACAUCACUCACAGUACAAGCAUUGACAAAAAACAACAAAAACAACAGCGGACUUCGAAGACGUCUGACUCAUUUCAUAAACUUACUCGCACAUUUCUGCAAAUACAUUUGCAACAUUAUUAUAAUUGCCUUAGCGGCUACAACAACGGCGGUGUCAAGAACUAGUAUAUUUCAAAUAUGAUGUCCGCUCUCCGCGGCAGGAAUGUUGUGCAUAACAACAACAGCAACAUGACUUCCAGAACAAAUAUUGGCCAAGAAGCGGAACAGCAGGCCGAGUAUGACUACAAAUGAAAAUAAAAACAAACAAGAAUAGAUAACAACAGCAACAGCGAGCAGCGGUUGCCAAGCGAAUCGCAUAACGCAGUGUCAACAGCAUUACAUCAACGCCACAUCACGGCCACAUCGUGCCUGCGCUGGGAAUUGAGAAGGGUCAUGUGCCACAGCAGCGCGCUGUGAUUUUUCAUGGUCCAGCGCAAGUGUCACAAUAGGCUCUUUGCGAGGGGCAGCCGAGGCUGGAAACUGUCAAACGGACGACAGAAGGAAUGCCUUGUGAGAUGCGGCUGCCGCGAGCAGACAAGAACCAAGGAUAUGUUGGGCGAGAAUGAACAGCAACCAGAAAUAAUACCGCAGCAAUUGCCGCACCAAUAUACAGCUACCCUACACAGCGCACGCAAGUGUUGGAAAGUCAUGUGAGGAAGGAUGCGGAGAAGCGCGUCGUGAUGAGCAGUGAACAUGAGAAAGUUUAUGCGCUUGUGUGUGCACUCUGCUGCUGGUACGCAUAAAACUCAACAUCGAGUCACAAUACCGCCAACUAAUGGGAAAUAACACAAUUCUACGUAUUUAUAAAAAAUCGUUCGAAGCAAAAAAGUCCUUUAAUAUUACCCAAAUAAUAAAAAAUGUUACCGGGGAUUUAUUAAGUUGUGUGCGAGCGUUGUCGUGGCGUCACUGAUUUAAUUACAUUAAUGUAGAUGGCCACAUGUCAUGCAUGUAGGCAGCUAAUUUAGCUUGUUACGAGCAUAUGAAACUUGAGCACAAUGCUGAUCCGCUUGACUUAACAAGCGUGUGCCAAGUGUAGCUGUCGGCUUAACAAAUCCAAAAAUAUGUAAUAUUAACAGAGUCGCUAUUUGUCGACGGCGGCAUGUUUAUAAUCGGAAAUGUCGCUCAUUUGUAAACACCGCGCGCCUUGGUGAUUAAUGCGGACUCUCGCAGAUCGUAGGGAAAUUAACUUUAUCGUAAAAUGGUAUUUUAUGCUACGAAAUACUUUAAAAAGCUACUACGGAUACACCAUCAUAUAUUAUUCAUAUUACAAUAACAUCUACUUGCAAAAUUUAAGAAAUUUAUUUAAUUGGCAAUGAAAGUGCUGCUUGUAAUAAACGGUAUAUGUCAAACUGCA